CCCCUCCCAUCCCUUCCCCCCGCCUUCUAAAUACACACACACUCACUAGCAGAGACUCACUAGCAGAGACACACUCACUCACACACUAACAGACACACACACACACACACACUAACAGACACACUCACUAACAGACACACACUCACUAACAGACACACACACACACUAACACACACUCACUAACAGACACACACACUAAGAGACACACACACACACUCACUAACAGACACACACACUAACAGACACACACACACUAACAGACACACACACACUCACUAACAGACACACACACUAACAGACACACACACACUAACAGACACACACACACACACACUAACAGACACACACA